GGGGAUUUAGCUCAAACGGAAGACGUUCGCUUUGCAUGCGAGAGGUACGGGGUUUGAUUCCCCGCAUCUCCA
rnacentral:tRNA from 1 species